UACAGAGGUCUCGAGCGUUGCUCGGAUUCAUUGGGCGUAAAGGGUGCGUAGGCGGUUCCAUAAGUCAGUGGUGAAAUACAAUAGCUUAACUAUUGAGGUGCCAUUGAUACUGCGGAACUUGAGUACAGACGAGGUAGGCGGAAUUGACGGUGUAGCGGUGAAAUGCUUAGAUAUCGUCAAGAACACCGAUAGCGAAGGCAGCUUACUGGACUGUAACUGACGCUGAUGCACGAAAGUGUGGGGAUCAAACAGG
rnacentral:rRNA from 1 species